AAAAGCGGUGGAGGAAGCGCGCCCACCCACCAUGCUUGGCAGGCACCCUCCUCUCCAGCGAGUCUCUCUCUCUCUCUCUCUCUCUCUUUCUCCCUUUCUGUCUUUUUUGCCAAGCGGUUUUCCCUUCGUCCUUCCACGGGACAGAGCCAUUUGCUGGGACGGUUUCCACUUUGUGGGCGGCAUAAAGCAAAGGCAGCCGGACGAAAAAGAAAAUCAGAAAUAUGUCUACCAGAACCUAGGAAUCCAGGAAAGUAUCUCUGGUGCCUUCCUUCACAGCAGGUAAGUAUGUCCCAGUUGGGAUAAGGCUGCUUCUUAGACUUUGUCUCCGGAGGGCGUCAUUGUCUAAAAGCAGUGCUUCAGGGAAGGAAGGAAAGAGGAAGAAAGGAAGACAGAUGCCAUCCUUAUUUCGGCCUCCAAGUGGCCGAAACUGAAUCAAGAGACAAAGCUGAAGACCUAUAUUCAAGACAAAGCAGUUCCCUGUAGAGAGGAAGCCUACCAUGAAUGCAAGGGGAACCCAGGGCUCAAUAAUGGAUCGUUUUUCAGCUUUCCCAUCUUUUAACCUGGCAAUGCAGGCUGCAGCUGGUUGCCUGAAUUGGAGCCGAGAAGGAAUUUUUCCCCAUUGUCCCCAAAUUGGCCAAGGGUGGAAAUGGGUUUUUUUUGCCUUCUCUGCAUUGCCUUCCUCCUGGAUUGCUGCAAAUAUCCUUUGAUUUGUAGCUCAGGAGGAGUUAAAAGAUCGGUUUUCCCAGGAGGAAGAAUGGAUCACCUCUUUUUUGUUCAAUAAAGCUCAUGAAUUUAUGCUCAAUUCA